rnacentral:lncRNA from 1 species
AUCUCCGAAAAAAGAGAAAGAAAUGAAAAGAAAAAAGAAAAAAAAUGACAAUCUAUAUGGGAAAAUGUCUUACCUCUUAAUUUUUUCUAUUUUUUCUCUGUUUUCCUUAAUGUUUCCUUCAUUUUCUCCCAGAUUUUCUUAUGUUUUUCAUCCUUGGAGGUUCUAAUCAAAUGGGAGGCUUGGAGUGGCCAAAUCGAGAAGCUUAGGGGGAG